rnacentral:lncRNA from 13 species
CCCAGAAGAAAAUACUUUUUCCCCAAUUUUUUUUUUUUAAUUUGGUAUUUCCCAGUGUGGGUUUGCCUUAUUUUACAAUUAAGUGCCUAUGUCAAGUUGUGCGUAUGUGAUUUAAAUAUUUUAAUUUGAAUCACAUUUUACAUAGUCUAGGAAACUGACAAAGGAAUCCUAUAGAGAAUUGUUUUAUAAGGUGAAUAACUGCUUCUCUACCUACCCACCCCCCACCAUUCUUCUUUUCUGUGUGUUUUUUGGGGGAUGUUAGGGGAUAAAUCUGGUUUGGCUUAAAAAUCACUAAAAUGCAGCCUUUCAAAUCCAAAACAGAGAGCUUAAGCAUCCAACAUUCUAUAGAAUGUGUUAUUUCCUCAAGUGGUUGCUAGGAACAGUUAUGUAGAUCUACCAGAUGCAGGGAAAACGCUCCACACCCUCAUCCAGGUGCUGUAUCCUUGCAAGACUGCAUUGGAAAGACUGAAGAGAUGGAGUCUCACUCUUGCCCAGGCUGGAGUGCAGUGGCAUGCUCUUGGCUCAUGGAAACCUCUGCCUCCCACGUUCAAGUGAUUCUCAUGCUUCAGCCUCCCCAGUAGCUGGGAUAACAGUUUGGACAGUAGGCUCAAGAGCAGAGAGGCUGGGCAGAAAAUGAAAGUACAAAAUCAGUAGGACUUGAGGUGAAUAUGGAGAUGAAGACGACAUUGUGUUAGGGUAAGUCCCAGGCUUCUGGCUUAGAUGAAUGCAUCUGCCAUAAGGACUCUAGAAGGAAGACAGUAGGGGUAAGGAAGAACCUCUGGGGCAUUCAACAAUUAGGGAGACAUUGAAAGAGGAAGAGGCAGUGAUGGAAGCUGCGAAGAGGGAGCGGGGGUGACAGUGAGAGACAGUGAGAGAGAGCAGAGAAGAGCAUUAUGCAGAGUUUCAAGAAGGCAGAGAUCAGUACUAUCUACAAUUCAGGGAGACUUCGUAAGAUAGACCAGGAAGUCUUCACUUGAUUUGGCAAAUGGAGAGGCUUGGGUGACUUCAGCGGGAUCAGUUUCAGUGGAAGCCAGAUUGCAGUGGGCUGAGAAGUGAGUAAGUGGCGAGGAAGUGGAGAUGGUGAGAAUAGAUAUCUCCUUUAAGAGAAUGGCUGUGAAGGCAGGAGAGAGAGCAUGAUUGCUUGAGAAAAUGCUGAAGUG